GCGAGCCACUCAUCUUGGCCAAAAAAAAAAAAAGCUAGUGAUAUGCAUUGUCGCAUCAUAUAACAUCAGCUGUAAUUUGCUUUGCCAACCCGGAGGUGAUACUCUGACAACUACUGAUCUUAUCUUUAUAUUAUUCCUGACCUAGCAUUGCUUGUUCAAGCAUAUCCUCCUUUUUAUCUUUGAAACUUCACAAAGGCAUCUGAUUCCAUUGCACUUGCAUGCAUUCCUAAUGCAAGAGAACCUCCUUUGCAUUGAGCACAUUAUUCGGGCGCCCACCAUAACUUAACCCGGAAUAAGAAUCUUCUCUUGUUGGACAAUUACCUGACUAACCCUGAACCAAAUGCUAUGAGUAGAGAAGCCAUAGAGAACAAGCAAUGAACAGGUUAAAAUCUUUUAGGUUUUGCAUAAUGGUGGUAUGGCUUUAGACUUCCAUCUUUUCGCAUAAUGGGGAAGAAAGAAGUGAUUGCUGUGACUAGAGCUCCAUGGAGAUUAGGCAUUCUUCCUCUGAGAAGCUAGCCGCCAUUACUCUGGUGCUUCUUGCUGUGUUAUCACCAUUAUAUAUCGACCGGAAACCACCAGUUGAGCUAGAAACUGAGUCAGAAGGCGGUGGUUUUAUCUUCUUGUUACCAUUGGCUCUUAUUUUCUUGGUUAUAGCCAUUAACAUCACUUAUGUCUGCGAUCGGAGAUUCAUGAGGUGCGACCCAUACUUGAUACACAGGGUGGGAGGUUCUUCAGCUGGGAUUGUUGCCAUUCUCUUCAUUCUUACCUUCAUGUUGUGGUUUAAGUCCUCCCUGUGAAAUUGAUGUUUCUUUCACCAGAGGAAUUGUCAUCUGCUCGCUUAGUUUCAUGUGGAAGUUUUACUCUUUUAAAUCCAUGGUUUUAAUAGGUUGUGUCAUCAAAUGCAAUUCCUGAAGUUGUUUAUGUUUAUUCUUGCAAUUUAUGAUGAUCUUAUAAUUAA